CCUACGGGAGGCAGCAGUGAGGAAUAUUGGUCAAUGGGCGAGAGCCUGAACCAGCCAAGUCGCGUGAAGGAUGAAGGAUCUAUGGUUUGUAAACUUCUUUUAUAUGGGAAUAAAGUGAGGAACGUGUUCCUUUUUGUAUGUACCAUAUGAAUAAGCAUCGGCUAACUCCGUGCCAGCAGCCGCGGUAAUACGGAGGAUGCGAGCGUUAUCCGGAUUUAUUGGGUUUAAAGGGUGCGUAGGUGGUUAAUUAAGUCAGCGGUGAAAGUUUGUGGCUCAACCAUAAAAUUGCCGUUGAAACUGGUAGUCUUGAGUACAGUUGAGGUAGGCGGAAUUCGUGGUGUAGCGGUGAAAUGCUUAGAUAUCACGAAGAACUCCGAUUGCGAAGGCAGCUUACUAAACUGCCACUGACAUUGAUGCUCGAAAGUGUGGGUAUCAAACAGGAUUAGAUACCCUGGUAGUC
rnacentral:rRNA from 1 species